CCGGGGACCUGCACGGGGCAGGAGCCACAGAGAUGGGAGUUUUCCACAAAUGGGAAGAUUCGGGUUCAGCUGUCUGUGUCAUGUCUGCGAUACUGACACUACUGAUUCAUGUUUAGGCACAAAGAAAGACCGUAUUGAGAACCUAAAAACAACAAAAUACUAAAAAUUGCCAAAGUGGUUAAUAUGGAAGUGAAAUGGGAGACAAUUAUUGUGAUAAUUCAACGGAAGGAAAAAAUAGUCUCACGGAGCUGUUUAAAAUGACCCCCAGCCGUAUUCGGGGGACCCUGAUGGUCUCCCUGACGACCACGUUUGCGAGUGCAGCGAAUCUGCAGUUCCUGAGAGAAACCCGCCUCGUGUUGGUGUUGACGGUGACGGCCACCCCUUGCCCCCGGCAAAAUCUAAAAUGUUGAGUGGAGCAGACUCCAGGUCGGAAGCUCAGAUGCAGGGCACCGCCGAGGUGCAGGGCUGGCUUCCCAGAAUCGGAGAGAAGACUCACCCCGGCGACGCGGAACAGAAAUGUUAGCUGGAACCCGCCCAGCCAGGAUCUGUGUGGCUCCCUCGCAGGGGUGGAAACUUGGAAGGAGGUUCCCCGAGAGAAGACAGAGGAGGCCAGAGGACCUGCCGACAACUAGCCGGGAGGGGCUGACCAGGUCAUGUGCUAUGUUCUGUGGUCUCCCCUGUCCUACCUUGCCUCUGAAGGUGUCUUCCAGAGGAAAAGGAAAACAUGGAACUAAUUCAGGACAUUGACCAGACAGCUGUGCCUUGCAGGUAUACAUGAGUGAUCGCCUGGGAAUAGGUCCUGGGACUGGUGUUGUGAUGGUUGAUAAUGGAAUAUGACAGGGCUGGCCACCCCAGGUGCCCUGGGCAGAGGUUAGCACAGGUGGUUUUGUUCUGCAUUCCAUUC